AUUGAACGCUGGCGGCAUGCUUUACACAUGCAAGUCGAACGGUAACAGGCCGCAAGGUGCUGACGAGUGGCGAACGGGUGAGUAAUGCAUCGGAACGUGCCCAGUCGUGGGGGAUAACGCAGCGAAAGCUGCGCUAAUACCGCAUACGAUCUAUGGAUGAAAGCGGGGGACCGAAAGGCCUCGCGCGAUUGGAGCGGCCGAUGUCAGAUUAGGUAGUUGGUGGGGUAAAGGCCCACCAAGCCAACGAUCUGUAGCUGGUCUGAGAGGACGACCAGCCACACUGGGACUGAGACACGGCCCAGACUCCUACGGGAGGCAGCAGUGGGGAAUUUUGGACAAUGGGCGCAAGCCUGAUCCAGCAAUGCCGCGUGCAGGAAGAAGGCCUUCGGGUUGUAAACUGCUUUUGUACGGAGCGAAAAGGCUCCCUCUAAUACAGGGGGCUCAUGACGGUACCGUAAGAAUAAGCACCGGCUAACUACGUGCCAGCAGCCGCCGUAACAC
rnacentral:rRNA from 1 species